GUUAAUGGGCUCAAUGGAGUUAAUGGGGGGUUUUAUGGCAACAGCAGCAGCAGCAGCAACAACAACUUGGUUGUGAAUGGAAAUGGCUUCGACAGAAAUGGACAAGUUAACGGAAAUGCUGCUAGAAGAGUAAAAAAUGACUCUGCCUUUCUAGCUAAUUAAAUAAGUAUUUUUAUCAUAAAUUUCAAGAGAGAAAACAAUAAAAGGAAUUUUGAAUGCUUUUUUGGUGUUUGUUUUUUUGGGUUAAUUGAAUUGACAAGGUUUAGUUGAACUAGGACAGACCUAGUUUGAAAAAGAUGAAACUAUGUGGUUCAAACGCAUGUUUUAUGUUGGUUUUUAUUUGUUUAGAUAGUUUUUCUGGUUGCCUGAAUUAGAUAUUUUGAACAUGAAAUAUGGAAUUGGAAUCUUGUGUUUUGUGGUUUUGGAUUAUUCAAGUAGCUUUAUUUUUAUAUUUGGUUUAGCUGAGUGAAGGUUAUUAUUCAAGUGUGUCUAAAAUGGUCAAAUUAAAAAUAAGAACUUUAAUGAGAAGUUUUAUUUGAUUUUAAUGAGCUUUAUUAUCCCUUCAGGUUAAUGAACUUUAAAGGGCUUAAUUUAAUGCCUAUGAAUUCUAGAAUUUGUUGAUAGGGUAUUUUUGCUCGUUUCAGAAGAAAAUUAUGGUCAAGUGAAACGUAGAAUCAGUAGCAGGACAAGUAUGGCUCAGCGGGAGGAUACAGUUCGCAGGACUGUGUAUGUCUCUGACAUCGAUCAACAGGUA
rnacentral:lncRNA from 1 species